CGUAGCUCGUAGCUGCGGAUACCAGAGCAGCUUCGGUGAUCUUCUCGCCUUGGUCCGGCCACUCUGCGAUUAUAACAAAAGCUUGUAAUCACGGAUCUCUGCAAGGUUCCAAUAAAGCUGGCGAUUUUCUCAAACAUGGCGUUCGCGGCGGUGUGGAUGUCAAAUGGAGGUUACAUUAGUUAAGAAAACGCCCGAAAGAAAGUGAGAAGGAAAAACAAAUUGCGCACACUUUCGAGAAUCGAAAUGUCUUGAGAGAGACGUGUCAAAAGAUUCGAUCCGUCUCUUCUUCUCAUCGUCGUCGUCGUCGUCGUCCGGGUACCCCGCAGGUGUAACCCGCCAACGACAACGCGCGUCUAGUCACGGCACUGUCUAGUAGUAAGCGUUGACGUCAGCGGUAGGCGUGGCCUGCGAUCGGCUCGCGCCGAUAGAGGGAUAUAUUUACCGCGCUC